GGCCGCACACCACCCUGAACGCGCCCGAUCUCGUCUGCUCUCGGAAGCUAAGCAGGGUCGGGCCUGGUCAGUACUUGGAUGGGAGACAUUUCAUAUGACAGGGAUCUACAGCCU
rnacentral:rRNA from 1 species